GUACACUUCAUGCACGAGCUUACAAAGAUUUCAAUCUUGGGACUGUCUCAAAUGCAUUGAAUAAACAAUUCACAAGUGUUUUUACAAAAACUGAAUAUUCAUCAGUACCUGUAUCUUUUAAGGAUGGUAAUGUCAAAAUGGAAAACGUAAUAGUGACAUCGAAAGGGGUAGAAAAACUUUUAAUAGGACUAAAUGUAAAUAAAGCGAUGGGACCUGAUUCGUUACAUCCAAGAGUGUUAAAAGAGCUCGGCCCAAGCAUUGCAGAUAUUCUGGCACAUCUAUUUCAACAAUCAAUUAAUGUAGGCAAAAUACCGGAUGACUGGAAAAUGGCAAAUAUAUGCCCAUUAUAUAAAAAGAAGGAUAAAUCUUUACCCAGUAACUAUCGCCCUGUAUCAUUGACUUGUAUCUGUUGUAAAGUGCUAGAGCACAUUAUUUGUUCAAAUUUGAUGAAACAUUUUGAAGCCCAUAAUAUACUUAAUAGUAGGCAACAUGCAUUUAGGAAACAUCACAGUUGCGAAACUCAACUAGCAACAGUGAUUAACGACUGGGCAUAUUCAGUAGACAGAAACAAACAAGUGGAUAUUUUUAUUCUGGAUUUUGAAAAAGCGUUCGAUACCGUGCCUCACGAACUUCUAAAAUCUAAAAUGCAUAAAUACGAUGUAAGACCCAAUAUUUUAAAUUGGAUUGACUCAUUUUUGGUAAAUCGCAGUCAGUGUGUAAUUGUUAACGGUGAAUCAUCAAACGUAUCAUCAGUUCUAUCUGGAGUACCACAGGGAACAGUGUUAGGACCCAUUUUAUUCUUAAUACAUAUUAAGGUAUCCGAUCCAUAAAUAGCGCAUUUCACUUCGGCAGUUAUCGGACGAUGUCGGUAUUUUCCGGAAUUUUCAUUCAGGAACUUAGUUUUAUUUUAUUUUGUACAUUUUUGAAUAUCAUUUAAUAAAACCAUUAAUAAAAAGACAAAUACAUGAAGAAUUUUUACCAAUACUUUUCUAUUAUCAAAAAAUUACGGAAUUCUCGUCUACUCUCUUACAACGAGAUGCAAUGGCGGCGCCCAUGAAAAAACAUUGCGAAUGCCGAUUAAAAAAACAAAAACAAUGAUAAACGUUUCACAUUAGAAUUAACAGUCUAUCGUGUGAUCAUAUGGUACGAUGGGCGCCAGAAAAUUAUCAUUUAUUGUGCUAACAAGACCUGUCGGCUCUGAAUAUGCUGUGAAUAGCCCAAAACAUCCGGGUUGACGUCAUUUCGACAUGUACAAUGAUCAGAUGAUAUAGAAAAAGUAGGCAUCGAAAACAACGAUUGUCCACGAAACGCUUGAUUUAGCAAUGGUCUGUGUUGAUGCUAUUUUCUUUGAAAGCAAAUUGUCAGUAAUCUGCAGCCAUUCAGCUACUGUACCAGAAACUUGAAGAAAGGGGUAAAAAGUGAGCUGCCAUUACCAAAGUACCUCAGAUAUGUAGUAGGAACCAUGACAUUCAGGCAUUUCUGUUCUGUUGAAAUAAUACUUGAGCUGGAACCAUGACGUGAAAGAAGACCUUAGGAAAUAUAUGCAAGUGGAGAUUGAGACAUAAAAUUUGUAAAAUGAAAAGACAUAUGAAGCAAAUAGCAAGUUCUGAAUGCUUCAGACUAACUAUUGGUAGACUUUCGAUGAUUUACUGCAAACAUAGGGCAAAAAGACUCGGAUACAAAUGUAUCAUAACAGUGCUUACAUGCCAAACUUCCAGGGUACCUAUACAGGAGAAUUCAGUUGAAAGACCAGGAGAUUUAGAAUUUACAUUGUACCUAGUUUAAUAGUAUAAUUAAAAAGAUAGUUCUGAAUUCUUUUUAGCAAAUCUAAUUCAUUUUUAAAUCUACAAGGUAUUGUCAUCAUUUGUUGAUCUUUGUCAGCUUUGGUCUUGGUUAACAUUUUUGCUUAUGUUCCUCUUUUCUUCGAAACUAUAAGAAAUAUAGCUUUGAAACUUGGUUCACCUGUUUAUCAUCAUUAGAUCACCAAUAGUCAUAAUUCCCACUUCUGUCACUUUUUGGCAGAAUUAUGACCCCUUGUGUACCUAGAAAAUUGGAAUUUCUUGGUUAAAUAUUUGGUUAAAUUAAAUGUUUCAUACUUUAAGAGCUAUAGCUUGAAACUUUAUAUACUUGUUUAUCAUCAUUAGUUGACUAAAUAGGUCAUGAACCAUAACUAUUGCUUGUAUUCUGUCAGAAUAAGGGCUUUUUAAAUUUGAAUUUCUUGGUCCAUUUUUUGUUUAGCUCGACUAUAUGAAGAAUAAGUAGAGCUAUCCUACUCAUCACGGCGUUGGCGUCAGUGUCGGCGUCACACCUUGGUUAAUUUUUUCGUACCAUUUCACAUAUUGACAAAACUUUUUGAGGUAAUGCUUUAAAACUUUCAACACUUGUGUACCAUCACCAUAUCAAGUUUUAGGCAACUUGAAGAAUACUUAACUCCAUCAAGCAUUUUGGCUGAAUGAUGGUCCCUUUUGACUUACAAAUCUUGGUUAAGUUUUUCAUACCAGUUCAUAUUUUGUGCAGACUGUUUGAUAUAUGGCUUUGGA
rnacentral:lncRNA from 1 species